rnacentral:SRP_RNA from 1 species
GCUGGGCACAGUGGUGUGUGCCUGUAAUCCCAGAUACUUGGGAGGCUGAGGCAGGAGAAUUGCUUGAACCUGGGGGGCGGAGCUUGCAAUGAACUGAGAUUGUGCCACUGCAACUUCAGCCUGGGUGACAGAGUGAGACUCUGCCUCAA